ACGCUCGACACCUACGGGGGGCAGCAGUGAGGAAUAUUGGUCAAUGGGCGCUAGCCUGAACCAGCCAAGUAGCGUGAAGGACGAAGGCUCUAUGGGUCGUAAACUUCUUUUAUAUAAGAAUAAAGUGCAGUAUGUAUACUGUUUUGUAUGUAUUAUAUGAAUAAGGAUCGGCUAACUCCGUGCCAGCAGCCGCGGUAAUCUGAGCGGGCUGGCAAGGC
rnacentral:rRNA from 1 species